AGGCUCCACUCGUCCAAACACAAUUGCAUAGAGAGAGCCUUUGGAGUGUGGAAGAUGAAAUGGCAGAUUCUUCUAAAGAUGCCAAGCUACUCCAUCGAAACACAAAAGAUGAUUGUUGCUGCUACUAUGACUUUGCACAACUAUGUUCGCUUCCAUGAUGAAGAAGAUAUUCACUUUGUUCGAUGUGACAAGGACCCGGACUAUGUGCCAACAAUUCCGGAACGAUACAAGAAAUUUGUUGUUCCUUCACACGCAUCGGAUACAUCAACUACAGCGGAAAAUGGUGAAGACAUGGAUGUGUUUAGGCAAGAACUAGCUACAGCCAUUGCUCUAAGUUGGUGA
rnacentral:rRNA from 1 species